rnacentral:rRNA from 1 species
UACGUAGGGGGCGAGCGUUGUCCGGAUUAUUGGGCGUAAAGAGCGUGUAGGCGGCCAGGUAGGUCUGCUGUGAAAACUCGAGGCUCAACCUCGAGACGUCGGCGGAAACCAUCUGGCUAGAGUCCGGAAGAGGAGAGUGGAAUUCCUGGUGUAGCGGUGAAAUGCGCAGAUAUCAGGAAGAACACCCGUGGCGAAGGCGGCUCUCUGGGCCGAUACUGACGCUGAGGAGCGAAAGCGUGGGGAGCGAACGG